UUUAAUAAUCAUUUUCCAUGCUGGCAUGGGUUGGAUGGUUUGACAGGAGCUGGUAUGGUAAGGUGAGGGGCUGUAGCAGGCUCCAUUUUCUGUUCUGGCAGAGUUUCUAUGGCUGGAUGUCCUUCCUAAUGCCAACCAUUUUACAGAGUGUACUGGGUGUUUUUUAUGAGGCAUCAGCACCAGUGCUGUUAACAUGGCACCAGCACUAGUAUCAGUUCUGAUG